UACGUAGGGGGCAAGCGUUGUUCGGAAUCACUGGGCGUAAAGCGCACGUAGGCGGAUUGCUAAGUCGGGGGUGAAAUCCUGGAGCUCAACUCCAGAACUGCCUUUGAUACUGGCGAUCUCGAGUUCGGGAGAGGUGAGUGGAACUGCGAGUGUAGAGGUGAAAUUCGUAGAUAUUCGCAAGAACACCAGUGGCGAAGGCGGCUCACUGGCCCGAUACUGACGCUGAGGUGCGAAAGCGUGGGGAGCAAACAGG
rnacentral:rRNA from 1 species